UUGUCUAUUUAUGAAAUUUUAAAAAUAAAAUUCCAAAAUCUAGUAGCUAAAACUUGUUUUCGAGCCAAAUCAUUUUGGCUUCCAUUUCAGCUCAUAUUCGUCCUUUGGUUACAAUUUUUUAAGUUUUGGCUAAUUGAGGUGUUAGUGUGGAGGAGUAUUUGUCUUGUUGGUUGAUCGGACCAAGAGUCAUCAGUAUGAGGAUUCUCAAUUACUUGCA
rnacentral:lncRNA from 1 species